AAAAAAUAUCUGUUCUGAUUUCAACUUAAAAACACCUGUUCAAAGUUACUACAAUAUAUUAAUUAUAUGCAUUUGCUUAGUAGGGCUGCUGAGGGCUGGGGACCUGAGAUAAGGUGUAAUCAUUUACCCAUCAAAUCACCUAACAAGCAGGAUUUGGUAUCCGCAAAAUGGUUCGAGGUCCUCAGCCCUCGCCUCCCCCAGCACAGAGGAAAACUACCAAGGGCGGUACUCUCAUUAUAGGAGAUUCAAUUGUUAGACAUUUAAAAGUAUCUAAGAGUAAUGGCACAAUUUCAUGUCUUCCAGAUGCUUGCAUGCUGGUAGUCGGCAAGCGGCUCCCUGGGGCGCAUUGCCAAAGCAGGAACCCCGGCACCAUCGCCCUCCAUGUGGGGAUGAGCUUUCGGGAGCGACCGGCCCCGUUCCACAGAGACAGGCUUCUCUCUGUGAACAUCGAGGCGGUGCUACGCUGAGACUGACUGUCUCUACCCAGUCACACCAGCCAAGCUGCACUGUAGUGGUGUUAAGUGUCCAAGAAUGCUCUCAUCAGUGGAGGCACAGCUGGCUGCAAAAAACGUCUGUGUCUGCAUGUUUAUAUUAUGUGAAUUAAAAAUGGUUUUAUUAUUAAAAUAAUUGUA